AAUCAACGCUGGCGGCGUGCCUAAUACAUGCAAGUCGAACGCGAAGACCCCGCAAGGGGUUUGUAGCGUGGCAAACGGGUGAGUAACGCGUGGGCGACCUGCCUUCGAGUGGGGGAUAACCUUCCGAAAGGAGGGCUAAUACCGCAUGAUAUGCCGUGUUUGGAUACAUGGACAUCAAAGCCGGGGAUCGCAAGACCUGGCGCUUGGAGAGGGGCCUACGUCCGAUUAGCUAGUUGGUGAGGUAACGGCUCACCAAGGCGACGAUCGGUAUCCGGCCUGAGAGGGCGGACGGACACACUGGGACUGAGACACGGCCCAGACUCCUACGGGAGGCAGCAGUAGGGAAUUGUUCGCAAUGGGCGCAAGCCUGACGACGCAACGCCGCGUGGAGGAUGAAGACCUUCGGGUCGUAAACUCCUUUCGACCGAGAUGAACACCUGUCGACCUAAUACGUUGACAGGCUGACAGUACCGAGGGAAGAAGCCCCGGCUAACUCCGUG
rnacentral:rRNA from 1 species